CAGAAAAUAGUUUUUAGAAUAUUAGUUUUGGAGACUAAAGGUUUAUUUCUGA
rnacentral:tRNA from 1 species